GAUGAACGCUGGCGGCGUGCUUAACACAUGCAAGUCGAACGGAAAGGCCCUGCUUUUGUGGGGUUCUCGAGUGGCGAACGGGUGAGUAACACGUGAGUAACCUGCCCUUGACUUUCGGAUAACUUCAGGAAACUGGGGCUAAUACCGGAUAGGAGCUCCUGCUCCAUGGUGGGGGUUGGAAAGUUUCGGCGGGUGGGGAUGGACUCGCGGCUUAUCAGCUUGUUGGUGGGGUAGGUGCUUACCAAGGCUGUGACGGGUAGCCGGCCUGAGAGGGGGAACGGGGACCAUGGGACUAAGAGACGGCGCAGUCGGGUACGGGAGGCAGCAGGGGGGAAUAUGGCACAGUGGGCGCAAGCCUGAUGCAGAAGCGCCGCGUGCGUGAUGACGGCCUUCGGGUUGUGAACAGCUGUCGCCUGAGACGAAGCGGGAGUGACGGUACUGGGUAAAGAAGCACCGGCUAACUACGUG
rnacentral:rRNA from 1 species